rnacentral:rRNA from 1 species
UGAGGAAUUUUCGGCAAUGGGGGAAACCCUGACCGAGCAACGCCGCGUGCAGGAUGACGGCCUUCGGGUUGUAAACUGCUUUUCUUUGGGACGAGUAAGGACGGUACCAGAGGAACAAGCCCCGGCUAACUACGUGCCAGCAGCCGCGGUAAUACGUAGGGGGCGAGCGUUGUCCGGAGUUACUGGGCGUAAAGCGCAUGCAGGCGGUCCUGUAAGUUUGGAGUGACAGUUUCCGGCUUAACUGGGAAAGUGCUUCGAAAACUGCAGGACUUGAGGGCUUCAGAGGGACACGGAAUUCCGGGUGGAGUGGUGAAAUGCGUAGAUAUCCGGAGGAACACCGAAGGCGAAGGCAGUGUCCUGGGGAGCACCUGACGCUCAGAUGCGAAAGCCAGGGGAGCGAACGGGAUUAGAUACCCGCGUAGUCC